UCAGGAAGUUUGGAGGCGGCAUGGAAAUGGAAACUAAUUGAAAGUCACAGUGACAUUGUUUUGACUUUUAAAAAUAUUUAAUGUUCUGGUGGUUCAGGGAUAGGAUUGCUGAUACAGUCUAUUAUAUACUUAAAAACCGUGAUGCUGCCUCAGUUCCGUAUCCAAGAAACAUUGUUCUUUAAAGGCAACGAAUCCCAGUUUAGAGGGACGGUUUUCUAAAGGCAUAGGGAGACAUGGAGUUGGGUGGUUUAAAAUUCUAAGCUAAGGGGCUUUAUUGAAGUAUGAUUCCAUAUUAUCACAAGCCUGCAGCUUUGCCCCAAACUCCAUUAUCAUCCUGUAUCCCUGUCUGCUGCGAUGGAGGAAGAGGCCAGAGUAUGCAACUGUGUCUUCAAAAGAAAGAAAACAAAGACUUAUUGAAGAUCAACAAUGUGCCAGCCUGUUUCAAAUUCCGGUCUUCCCUUAUUCUCCAGCAGUGAGAAAAGGCGAACACACCCAGACAUCCUCAAAUCUAUUCUUCCUGGCUCAGGGGAAC